rnacentral:misc_RNA from 1 species
GUGAAUCAUCGAAUCUUUGAACGCAAAUUGCACUUUCUGGUAUUCCGGAAAGUAUGCCUGUUUGAGGGUCAGGUAAAUAACAAUCGUAUUUGUUGCUGCUUUUCGUGGUAACGCUUCGGAUUUGAGUCGUCUUACCUUAGGUUAAGUGACUUAAAAUUCUUGCAUUAUUUUCGAAUGUAUUUAAAUCGUUUAUGUACUUUUGAGAUAUCGCAUGCUUAUUAGGUUCGGUCAUCCUCAUGUCCUGCG